rnacentral:ncRNA from 2 species
UGAACGUGCUGGGGGAGCUUCGGCUGAGAGGAAGCCCGAUGGCAGGGCUUCGACCCCAGAACCUGAACGGGGUAAUGCCCGCGUAGGGAAGCACGUGAAUCGCAUC